rfam:Neptuniibacter sp. Phe_28 scaffold_172, whole genome shotgun sequence.
AUUGGUGUAUGUAAAUAAAUACAUGCGCCUUUUUUUAACGGAGUAAUAGAAUGGCCCGUAUAGCUGGCGUCAACAUUCCUGAC